UACGUAGGGUGCAAGCGUUGUCCGGAAUUAUUGGGCGUAAAGAGCUCGUAGGCGGUCUGUCGCGUCUGCUGUGAAAACCUAGGGCUUAACUCUGGGCGUGCCAGUGGGUACGGGCAGGCUAGAGUGCGGUAGGGGAGACUGGAAUUCCUGGUGUAGCGGUGAAAUGCGCAGAUAUCAGGAGGAACACCGAAGGCGAAGGCAGUGUCCUGGCGCGUGACUGACGCUGAGGUGCGAAAGCCAGGGGAGCGAACGGG
rnacentral:rRNA from 1 species